CCUCAUCCCCCUCCCCUCUCCUCCUCCGACCUCAUCCCCCUCUCCUCUCCUCUCCUCCUCCUCCUCCGACCUCAUCCCCCUCUCCUCCUCCGACCUCAUCCCUCUUCUUUUUGUAAACCCCCCCAAAAGUCAAGACGAAACAAAGAAAAACUACAACUACAAAACUAUUGCCAGCGCUGGACUGUGGGCUCACUGCCUCAGAGGAGAUGUUGAAUUAUAUUGUAAAAUACAACAACAAAAUAAUGACUUAUUUUUAUUAUCAAGCGGAGAAAAAAAGACUUAAAAACUCAACAAGACUCUGUUCCUUCUUUUCCGUUUUGGCACGAUGACUCAUGAUGACGAGCGGUGUUCCCACUGACGGACGACCACUUCCUGUUGUGUACUUCCUGUUUCCUGUGUUGUAGGAGUCCCUCUAUUAACCGUAGUACUACACACUCACCACUAGGUGGAGGUGUUCUGGUCUCAGGUCAGGGGGGAGACGGAGAGAACCCUUUCAUCCACACACACACACACACUCACACACGCACACACACACGUGUAGAUGGUGUAGUUUUGUUAAGGUAGUAAUUAGGUUAAACCCUCGGUGCCUCCUCUCCUCUCCUAUGACAACCUCCACCCAAAACAUACACACACACACACAAAACACACACACACACACGUGUAGACAGUGUAGUUUUGUUAAGGUAGUAAUUAGGUUAAACCCUCGGUGCCUCCUCUCCUGUGACAACCUCCACCCAAAACACACACACACACACACACACACACACACACACACACGUGUAGACAGUGUAGUUUUGUUAAGGUAGUAAUUAGGUUAAACCCCUCAGUGCCUCCUCUCCUGUGACAACCUGUCUGACCCAUGACUCUUUUAAUAUAUAUUAAUUUAUAUUUGUCUCUUAUUUUUGUAUUAAAAGGCAAUGAAAGACUAGAUUGACUAACAACA